ACUAAAUUGCAGCAGCAGUAAGGUAGGAAACCAGAACCUGUUGCAAUUCACGGGGAGAUCAAAGGAUGAUCCGUGGUGGUGGAGAUGAUGGCGGAAUUCGGCGACCAUCUUUUAAGCAAUUGUGGGAAUUGCUUUGGGCGGUUGUGGAGGGCUGAUGGAUGGCAGUGGAAGGGCAGCGAGAUGCCAAGAACGCUGCUCUGAUACCAGGUGUUAGAACCCUUGCAGAUUCUAAACUUGGGGUUGAUCUCUUUAGGGGAU
rnacentral:lncRNA from 1 species